GUUUAGUCGCACUCUCCUUUCUUGUAACUUGAAGCCAUUGGUUCAAGUCCUACCCUCCCUGUCAACUCUUUGUUAAUUCAUGAAUCAUUUCUACCUCAGUUUUAAUUGGCUACCUAGAAAAGAGAAAAGAAAAACCCAGGGCAGGGACUUUGGAGUGUUACUGUUUGUUUUUGCCCCCGAUGGUAAAGUCUACCCUGCAAUGAAUUUGCCUUGGGGGUUUUAUAGAAGGGAAUAGCGGUCUUAAGUUGAGGCCAUUGUACAAAUUAAACAUGCCUGUCUAGAAGUCAAGGUAUCAGCAACUGCAAGUGUCUGCGUCAGCAGGUUUUUAGGCCUUAGCCUGCAUCUGGAGAUGAAUUACUGCCUCGAAUGGCGCUAGAGACAGCUGCAAACAUUCUCCUGAAGAUGAGGUAAGGACAACGGGAAGAAAUGGCUGAUGUUUUUCUUCAUCCCUGUCAAAUCCCAAUACACCAGAAAAAUAAUAAUAAUUUUGAGCAGGGCAGUAAGCUACCUGUCUAAACAAACAAACCUGGCUUUACAUUUUAAAAAUAAAUAAAGAGCAGGAUGGAAAUGGCAGGAAGGGUUGCAUAGGCUGGGCAAGGCGUGCAUUUGAAAUGACAGGGGAAGAUAAAUCUGGUGGCAUUGCACCCACUUCCACUGGCUAGUAGCAUAUUAAGUUUAAGAGCAAUGUUUUCCUUCAGCUUUUGGUUUCAAGCAACCCACGAUUUGGAGGGAAAACAAGCUCACUCAUGAAUAACACUCUUGUAUAUAUAUAUUUUAACUCAGAUGAGCUCAGUUUAAAGUCCUCUCCCAUGAAUGAGUUAAUUGUUUUAAACGUUUGAGUGUGAAAAUAAACUCCUAAGCCAUAAGGUUUUCUGAGGCAAGAGACUUAACUUUAGGGUUCAAGCAAUUUACGUCGGCUCCCCACAUGCUAAUCAACACAAAAACACAACAGACUAAAAUGUUUUAAGAACAACUAGUUAGUGCCUUGUCAAAUGGGCUUACCCUGCUAUUAAUUUUAAGGAUCUCCAUUAAACAAGCAACAUAGCUGGAACUGGGCUUUUUUACAGAUGGGCGGCACACCCACUGACUUUUUCCAUGGCUUGAAUAACACUCUCUUUUCAGUCACCAGUGAAUGGGGAUUCCCCACCUCAAGGCAGACCCAUAAUAAACAAAGGCAUUGGACUGGAUUAUCUUCCCCAAGCGAACAUGAAUAAUCUCUAGGCCGAAAUUUUAUUGGUGUAAGCCAGUUGACAGAAGAACCUCUAUCACCAUGUUCAAUAUACAGCUGGUUUUCUUUAUCUGUUUGUUUUCAACUCUCAGACAGCAUCUAUAUUGGUUCAAGAGCUGGGACAAACUGAUGAAACUUCUUUUGAAUAUUAUUGUGCCAAGCUGCCUAAAUAAUUCUGAAUGUUCUGGUUUCAAUGUCAGGCAAUGGAUGUCUGCCUACUCCCAGACCAUGGAACCAAUUGUAAGCACGAAUGCUUUGUUUCCAUGGGGAAUUGCAUUCUUGCAUCAGAAUGAUGUCACACCCACAGGUCUUAGAGCCAGGAAAUGGCAACUAUAUUGCCUGUAGCAGUGGCUCUCAGUGGCCUGGUGCAAAGUUCCAGGAAGGUAUAGAAUCCAGAAGCAAGAUGGUUCUCACAAGACAAGACACGGAUGGGUUGAAUGACUCCAGUCACAUUGCCUGGUUUUUUGACAUUGUUUUUGCAUUGGAACCCUUAAAGCGGGCAAAGUAACCGGUUGAGGAUGCCAUUUCGCGCUGGCACUUCAAAGUGCUUAACAGCUCAGGCCACUUUAUUUCCAUGCCAGUGAAGUCUUUGCUAAGCUAAAUGCUGAUCCGUCAGGUUGCUGCUAACGACAGAGGAGCAAGGUCAGUUAACAGAAAGGGAGGCAGCAAAAGUGGCUAUUGUAGCCAAGCGGUUAAGAGAAACCCCGAUAUGCCCACAUACCCAGACGUGUUGGUAAGAUCAUGUCCGAAGUCACAACCAUCAAGAUCUGAUCCUGCUUUAGUGUUUGAAAUCUGACACAAAUCAUUGCCUGAGGCUUCAAAGGCCUCUCUGGCAGGUACGAGGGUGAAUUACCUGUUUCAGAUCUGAGUGACUGUUGAAAGCAUACACGUUGCCUCUGAAGAAAAGCAAGUAAGAUCUGAAAAUGGUAUCUGUCAGUCUUGCAAAGUUGUCAUGGAAAAGAAAAUCUCCUGUCUCAUGAAGAUGCAGACAGACUGAGGGGGAGGUGGGGAGGAACAGUAUCACACUUGCCUGUCAAAUAUGCACCUUGUUUUCUAUGCAGGCAAUAUAUUAAGAUUUUUUAAAAUG